rnacentral:rRNA from 1 species
ACGUGGGUAAUCUGCCCUGCACUUUGGGAUAAGCCUGGGAAACUGGGUCUAAUACCGGAUAGGACUACGCGAUGCAUGUCGUGUGGUGGAAAGCUUUUGCGGUGUGGGAUGGGCCCGCGGCCUAUCAGCUUGUUGGUGGGGUGAUGGCCUACCAAGGCGACGACGGGUAGCCGGCCUGAGAGGGUGUCCGGCCACACUGGGACUGAGAUACGGCCCAGACUCCUACGGGAGGCAGCAGUGGGGAAUAUUGCACAAUGGGCGCAAGCCUGAUGCAGCGACGCCGCGUGAGGGAUGACGGCCUUCGGGUUGUAAACCUCUUUCAUAGGGACGAAGCGCAAGUGACGGUACCUAGAGAAGAAGCACCGGCCAACUACGUGCCAGCAGCCGCGGUAAUACGUAGGGUGCGAGCG